AUGGAACAAUGGUUCCAGUUGGAGGAAAUUGCCAAAAGCAUUAGCUUUACUGCCGAGCCGGAUGCCCUGAUUUGGCAGCUGGACAAUAAGGGGAAGUGUUCCUCCAGCUCCCUCUAUCAUGUUAUCAACUUUAGAGGGGUUCAACCCGUGUUUAUCCCUGCUGUUUGGAAAUUGAGAGUUCCCCCUAAAAUUCAUGUAUUUCCCUGGCUUCUCUCCAAAAACAAAUUGACGACUAGGGAUAACAUUAGGAAGAGACACAUCAUCAAACCCCUUGAUUGUGUUUACUGCUUGGAACAAGAGUCUUGUUCUCACCUAUUUUUUGAAUUUAUAGUUGCUAAACAUCUCUCGCCCCACAUUGAGGAAUAUUUCUCUAGUCACAUUGGCUCAUCCUUCGAAUCUGUCGCCAGAUUCUGGAUUGCUACCAAAAAGUGCUCAGUUUUAAACACUGUUAGCUCAGCUGUCCUUUGAUGCCUCUGGAAAUAUAGAAAUGCUAUGAUUUUCAGUAACACCUCCAGGAUUUCCAUUCCACAGGUCUUGAGGUUGAUCAGGAACAUGGUGAGGAACUGGGCGAUUCUCUCGUCCUGAUCGGACAAGGACAAGUUGAUGAGCUUCGUGGAAACCCUAACAAGAUCCCUCCAGAAACUAUUGGCGAUCACUUGUGGCUCAACAAGGCUCGACCUACUCUGGGGCUGGACCCGUGGGCUCGUCUCAAGAUCUCUGAUGAAGAUGAUGGGCACCUGGCACCGAAAAAGAGGGACAUCCACCAUGCUAUGCCUUCCAGCCCGGUGUCUCCGCUUGCUUACUAGUCACCGCAUGCUGACACGGCCCCUCGGCUGA
rnacentral:rRNA from 1 species